GAUGAACGAGGGAGGGGGGAGGAACACAUGCAAGUCGAACGGAAAGGCUCCUGCUUUCCGCGGUACUCGAUUGCCGAACGGGUGAGUAACACGUGUGUGAUCUGCCCUGCACUUCCGGAUAAGCCUGGGAAACUGGGUCUAAUAUCGGAUAGGACGAUGUUUUGGAUGCCAUUGUGGAAAGUUUUGCGGUUUGGGUUGGGCUCGCGGCCUAUCAGCUUGUUGGUGGGGUAAUGGCUUACCAAGGCGUCGACGGCUAGCCGGCACGAGAGGGUGUACGGGCACAAUACGCCUGAGAUACGGACCAGACGCGAACGGGAGGCAGCGGGGGGGAGCCUGACGCAGUGGGCGCAAGCGUGAUACAGAGACCCCGGGUGGGGGAAGACGGGCUUCGGGUUAUAAACAACUGUCGAUAGGGACGAAGCGGUAGUGACGGUACCUGGAGAAGAAGCCCCGGCUAACUACGUG
rnacentral:rRNA from 1 species